GACGUAGGGCGCGAGCGUUGUCCGGAUUUAUUGGGCGUAAAGAGCUCGUAGGCGGCCUGUUGCGUCCGCUGUGAAAGCCCGGGGCUUAACCCCGGGUCGGCAGUGGAUACGGGCAGGCUAGAGGUAGGUAGGGGAGAAUGGAAUUCCCGGUGUAGCGGUGAAAUGCGCAGAUAUCAGGAGGAACACCAAUGGCGAAGGCAGAUCUCUGGGCCGUAACUGACGCUGAGGAGCGAAAGCAUGGGGAGCGAACAGG
rnacentral:rRNA from 1 species